rnacentral:lncRNA from 1 species
AAGAUACGUCUGGAGGACACGUAGAGUUGAUUCAGACUUCACAGAAUUAUGGAAUUACAGAAUCUCAGAAGCCAGCUAAUCCAGCCCAUUAUGAACAAGAAUCUCCAAUACGCCUGACAGUCCGUCAGUCAACUAGCAUUUAUUGUCAACUACAUGUCAGCCACUAGGCUAAGCAUUUCCUACUCUUAAUUUGUCUCUGCAACUUCCAAUCAUUCUCUCGGUUCUGGCUUUUUUGGCCAUAGCCAGAUGUAACUCUACUUCUGCAUUGGUGAUCCUUCAAAAAGCUGAAGAUAUCAGGUCUUUUCCCCUUCAAGCAAAACAAUCCCAGUUCCUUCGCCCUAUCUACACGUCACAUAGGCUAAAAGCCUUUUACCACCCUGGUUGCCACUGGACAUUCUCUGAUUUAUCUUGGUUGUCUCCUAAUCACUCUCCAGCUUAUCACUGUCUUUCAGAAACUAUGGUUCCAAGAAGCUAGAGAAGAGUGUGGUGGGAUUAUCAUCUUUCAAUUACUGGGCACACCUACUUUAACUGAAGCCUAAAACUUCCUUGAGGUUUGUUUUUGUUUGUUUGUUUGUUUUUGAUAGCCAAAUGACACCUGAUUUACAUGAUGGGCUAUAUUAAAGAUUCCAGAUUAAUUUUCAGAUAAAUGCUAUCUAGUUGUAUUUUCUAAAAACAUUACCUUCUGCCUUAGUAUCAAUUCUAAGACAAGAGUGGUAAGGGCUAGGCAAUUGGGGUUAAAUGACUUGCCCAGGGUCAUACAGCUAAGAAGGGUCUGAGACCAAACUUGAACCCCAGGUCCUCCUGAC